GACGAAGGGGGCUAGCGUUGUUCGGAAUUACUGGGCGUAAAGGGCGCGUAGGCGGUUCUUUAAGUCAGGCGUGAAAGCCCUGGGCUCAACCUGGGAGUGGCGCUUGAUACUGAGGAACUAGAGAGUGGGAGAGGUUGGUGGAAUUCCCAGUGUAGAGGUGAAAUGCGCAGAUAUCAGGAGGAGCACCAAUGGCGAAGGCAGCUCGCUGGGACGUGACUGACGCUGAGACGCGAAAGCGUGGGGAGCAAACAGG
rnacentral:rRNA from 1 species